UGGUGGAGUGAUUUGUCUGGUUAAUUCCGAUAACGAACGAGACCUUAACCUGCUAAAUAGUUAGGCUACCCCCUGGGUGGUCGUCAACUUCUUAGAGGGACUAUCAGCGUUUAGCUGAUGGAAGUUUGAGGCAAUAACA
rnacentral:rRNA from 1 species